AACGCCGCGUGAGUGAAGACGGUCUUCGGAUUGUAAAGCUCUGUCCUUAGGGAAGAACCGUGGGUAUAGCAAAUGAUACCCAUCUGACGGUACCUUUGGAGGAAGCACUGGCUAACUACGUGCCAGCAACGGCGGUGACUGAGCGGGCUGGCAAGGCGCAUA
rnacentral:rRNA from 1 species